GGGUGGACCCUCUCAAUGGAGAGUAAAUUGGCAAUUGUCGACAUCUAAUUGCACUUCAUUGUGGGGCUUCAAACUAUC
rnacentral:pre_miRNA from 1 species